CCUACGGGAGGCAGCAGUGGGGGAUAUUGGACAAUGGGGGGAACCCUGAUCCAGCCAUGCCGCGUGUGUGAAGAAGGCCUUAUGGUUGUAAAGCACUUUAAGCGAGGAGGAGGCUACUGAGACUAAUACUCUUGGAUAGUGGACGUUACUCGCAGAAUAAGCACCGGCUAACUCUGUGCCAGCAGCCGCGGUAAU
rnacentral:rRNA from 1 species